GACUAUCGGGAACGGAUAUCUCGGCUCACGCAUCGAUGAAGAACGUAGCAAAAUGCGAUACUUGGUGUGAAUUGUAGAAUCCCAUGAACGAUCGAGUUUUUGAACGCAAGUUGCGCCCGAAGCCAUCCGGUUGAGGGCACGUCCGUGAGUCA
rnacentral:rRNA from 1 species